GCGUUUCCCGUCGAUGACGAUGUCGCCGGCGGUCGUCUCGUCAA
rnacentral:sRNA from 1 species